UGUGGGAGUGAAGGAGUUAAUCUUUAGCUUGGCUAUUGAUUUCUAUUCUUUCUAAGAGUUUUAAGAUCUUCUCCAUAUCUGAACUAUGGUUAUUAGGUGAAGGUUAAGGAUUCUGUGCAUUUUGGUGCUGAGGGUUGGAUGGACUCCUAUAUUGAGUUUUCUAUAAAUUGGGUCUGUAAUUAGCUGGAUUAAUCACAGGUUGGGGUUUUCAUGAAAAAUUUGAGUGA
rnacentral:lncRNA from 1 species